UCCUAUGAGAUUUUCCUCCCACGACUGAAAAUGAAAUACUCGAGCCUGUCUGAAAGCAACGCAGCAUGUUGAUUAAAUGCCAAAUAAUCUUAUUGACACUGCUGAAAAAUUAAUAUCUGCACCAAUUACUCUGAUUGCGAAGUAUUUUCAAUUGUCAUUGAUUAAAUCCGUUGACCGUAUUCUGAAAUCAAUUCGGGAGCCAACAUUUUCUGUUUGUGCUGCAAUUUAUGACUUCUGAGAUAUAAACUGCAAUCAUGUUUGAAUCUGGCCUUUUGAUUCUGACAAGACCUAUUCCAGUUCUCAGGAAAAAUAUUCAGCAUAUUUUGUCACAAGCUGCUAAGGUAAUUUCCAAUACACUGUAUGUUCACAUUCAGCCGACCCAGGCUCUGAAACCGGACUCUAACCCAGAACCAGUGUUUACAAGUCUUCAAUUUGUUCCUCCAAACAAAGGCCUGCAAAAGUUGAUGACUGACAUCUACUCUUCUAGUGCAGCUGUAUGUGGAAACAUUGAUAUAUACGUCCUGCAAGGAAACAUAACAAAUGUUAAAAAUGAAAACUUCCACUACAAUCUAAGAUCAAAGCUAGAUGUCAUUCUGACGGACAAUCAGGAACAACUUAAUACAAAUGAACAGUUCUUAAGUAAAUUUGUUCAGAGUACAUUUCAGGCAUCCACACAUAACAUCAAAUUCCAGUGCCUCUGUGAUAUAAACUCUGUUGGUAUGGAGGACUUGCCUUCAGAGAGUUCUGGCAUACAGACUUACAGACGAGUAGUAUUAGGGGGAACCUUUGAUAGAUUACAUCUGGGACACAAGAUUCUUCUGGGAGAGGGUUGUCUGUUUGCUGAAGAAAACCUGACUGUUGGAGUUACCACAGGGGAAAUGAAUCUUAAGAAAUCUUUACCGGAGCUGAUACAGCCCACCCCUGUCAGGAUUGAUUCAGUGGUGCAGUUUAUUGAGACAGUGAAGCCACAGAUAGGUCACCGAGUGGUCCCAAUCACCGACAUGUUUGGACCCACCAUCACUGACCCAGAUCUACAAUGUAUUGUGGUCAGUGACGAGACAAAAAAAGGAGGAGACAUUGUGAACCAGGAGAGACAGAAGAAAGGCUACAGUGCGUUGGAUGUAUAUGUCAUUGACCUUGUACAAGAUCAAUGUCAUGGUCAGUUUGAGGAGGCCAAGAUCAGCUCUUCAUCGCUACGGAAACGGUUGCUAGGAACACUUAUUAAUCCAGUCAAGCCAAACAAGAACAUUCCCUCUACACCCUAUGUUCUGGGAUUAACAGGUGGAAUAGCCAGUGGGAAGUCAGCCAUAUGUAAAAGACUAGAGGGGCUGGGAGCAGGAACUGUGGACUGUGAUAAACUAGGUCAUCAGGCGUAUGCAAAGGGAACUGUGGGAUACGACAAGGUGGUCGGUACAUUUGGUAGUGGUAUCCUGAACAGUGAGGGGGAGGUAAACAGAAGAGCCUUAGGUACCAUUGUGUUUAGUGAUGAGACAAAAAUGCAGACAUUGAAUGAAAUAGUUUGGCCAGAAAUAGCAAAGUUAGCCACAGAAGAAGUUAGAAAGUUUGGUGCAGAAGGAAAAGCAGUAGUUGUGCUUGAAGCAGCCAUUUUGUUAAAGGCAGGCUGGGAGGAGCUUUGCCAUGAAGUGUGGGGGUGUGUUAUUCCAGUAAAGGAGGUAGGUUUAAUUAUUUCACUGCAGAGAUGGAGACAGAUUUAAUUAAAGGGUGAAUCAUCAGUGAAGGAUAAAAUUUACUGCAGGAGUGAGAGUAGAGGAAUGAGAGGAAUUCUCAGUGAAAAAUUUACCAUACGAAUGAAGAUGGAGGGAUAAGAUAAAUUCUCACUGAAGGAGUCAUUGUGGGAAUUAUGGUGGAAGGAAGGGGGAAGUCCUCACAGAAGGAUUUAUUUAGGGAUUAAUCAAUCAAUUUAAGGUAGAGGGAUUAAAUAAAUCCUCAUUUAAGGAUUCCAUGAAGGUAUCAUGGUGGAUGGAUAGAGUAAUUCCUCACUGGGGGUACAUAAGUUAGGUGUUUUAGAAUUCACUGCAGAGAGAAAUGAAGGGAUAGUUUAAGCUUCAGGAAAGGGUGAUGGUGAAGAUAUUUGGUGAAAUUCCUCACUAAACAAUUCUCUGUAGGGAGGAGGGAAUAGGACAAUAGGUACAAUACAUCUGUAUUAAUGUCAAGUAUAUGGCUAUUCUACUAGCUCUGGUGAUUGGAUUAAUCCUUUAGCUCAAGUAGAGUGCUUGAUUUGUAUUCUCAGGUUCAAACCCCAAUAGAGGCAAUAUCUGUCAAUAGAAGUACAUAUUAUAUGUUCAGUUAUGUAUCACAUGGUAAUUGAACUUUGAAUUCUGCAAUAAUUGUUGUUGAAUGGAAAAAAUCUAACUUUUUUAGGGGGCACAUUUAGAUAACAGAUACAUGUAUUGUAUGAUUUUUUUUAAGGCAGUAAAAAGAUUACACGACAGAAACAACUUGUCUGAGGAAGAGGCCCUGAAGAGGAUACAUUUAGGGGUCACCAACUCUGAGCUUGUCUCUAAAUCUAACGUCAUUCUGAGUUCCGAGUGGGAGUACGAGUAUACCCAGCAACAGGUUGAAAAGGCAUGGAGUCUUUUAAUAGAGCGACUUCAUCCAACAGUGAAAUCCAAACAUUGACAUACAAGUCUUAAACAUUCUGACACAUGGUGUCGUAUCACUAUUAUAGAGGAGAAACCAAUUUUACUUUAACAGUGAUGCAAAUGUAAUCAGACAGUGAUUUUUUUUAAAAUCUUGUAAAAACAGGUGUUUCAAGAAAAAUUAUUAAAAUAAAUCCUGCUAAU
rnacentral:misc_RNA from 1 species